rnacentral:rRNA from 2 species
GUGCGAGACCGAUAGCGAACAAGUACCGUGAGGAAAAGAUGAAAAGAACUUUGAAAAGAGAGUUAAAGAGUACCUGAAACUGCUGAAAGGGAACCGAAUCGUAUCCAGUGUCUAUAAUCCAUGGCAUAUUUCAUUGGCGAGUGAGUGCGUGCAGCGUUUUGGAAGUGGUUUUCCGCUCCUGUCGUUGUUGUGCAUUUGCUUGCUGGUGCCCUGUGCUGUGGUGGGACGUCAGAGUCAGUUUGUGUGUCGCGGGAAAUGGUUAUUGGGGAGGUAGGUCGCUUCGGUGGCUAUUAUAUCCUGGUAACUAGUCGUCGUGGCUGAGACUGAGGUGCCUACAACGUGCUUUCGAGUGUGCGGGUUUCUCGUGUGGCUGUUUGCUUUGAUAGCUUACUAUGUUGGUGAAUAAGUUGUGCGAUUGAGACCUGUAUUAACUUGUUGCUGUUCGGGACUUUG